AGUGAACGCUGGCGGUAGGCCUAACACAUGCAAGUCGAACGGCAGCACAGAGGAGCUUGCUCCUUGGGUGGCGAGUGGCGGACGGGUGAGGAAUACAUCGGAAUCUACUCUGUCGUGGGGGAUAACGUAGGGAAACUUACGCUAAUACCGCAUACGACCUACGGGUGAAAGCAGGGGAUCUUCGGACCUUGCGCGAUUGAAUGAGCCGGUGUCGGAUUAGCUAGUUGGCGGGGUAAAGGACCACCAAGGCGACGAUCCGUAGCUGGUCUGAGAGGAUGAUCAGCCACACUGGAACUGAGACACGGUCCAGACUCCUACGGGAGGCAGCAGUGGGGAAUAUUGGACAAUGGGCGCAAGCCUGAUCCAGCCAUACCGCGUGGGUGAAGAAGGCCUUCGGGUUGUAAAGCCCUUUUGUUGGGAAAGAAUCCAGCUGGUUAAUACCCGGUUGGGAUGACGGUACCCAAAGAAUAAGCACCGGCUAACUUCGUGCCAGCAGCCGCCGUAA
rnacentral:rRNA from 1 species